rnacentral:rRNA from 1 species
ACCAGACUCCUACGGGAGGCAGCAGUGGGGAAUAUUGGGCAAUGGGCGCAAGCCUGACCCAGCAACGCCGCGUGAAGGAAGAAGGCUUUCGGGUUGUAAACUUCUUUUAAGAGGGAAGAGUAGAAGACGGUACCUCUUGAAUAAGCCACGGCUAACUACGUGCCAGCAGCCGCGGUAAUACGUAGGUGGCAAGCGUUGUCCGGAUUUACUGGGUGUAAAGGGCGUGUAGCCGGGCCGGCAAGUCAGAUGUGAAAUCCCAAGGCUCAACCGCGGAACUGCAUUUGAAACUGUCAGUCUUGAGUACCGGAGAGGUCAUCGGAAUUCCUUGUGUAGCGGUGAAAUGCGUAGAUAUAAGGAAGAACACCAGUGGCGAAGGCGGAUGACUGGACGGCAACUGACGGUGAGGCGCGAAAGCGUGGGGAGCAAACAGGAUUAGAUACCCCCGUACAG